rnacentral:rRNA from 1 species
CAGUAGCCACGGGAAUACGUAGGUGGCAAGCGUUGUCCGGAAUUAUUGGGCGUAAAGCGCGCGCAGGUGGUUUAAUAAGUCUGACGUGAAAGCCCCCGGCUCAACCGGGGAGGGUCAUUGGAAACUGGGAAACUUGAGUGCAGAAGAGGAGAGUGGAAUUCCACGUGUAGCGGUGAAAUGCGUAGAGAUGUGGAGGAACACCAGUGGCGAAGGCGACUCUCUGGCCUGUAACUGACGCUGAGGAGCGAAAGCGUGGGGAGCGAACAGGAUUAGAUACCCCUGUAGUCCCUGUCUCUUAUAC